AGCCAAUAGAUACCCCGGUAGUCCACGCCCUAAACGAUGUCUACUAGUUGUUGGUGGAGUAAAAUCCAUGAGUAAACGCAGCUAAACGCGUGAAGUAGACCGCCUGGGGAGUACGGUCGCAAGAUUAAAACUCAAAGGAAUUGACGGGGGCCCGGCACAAGCGGUGGAUUAUGUGGGUUAAUUCGAUGCAACGCGAAAAACCUUACCUGGCCUUGACAUGCCACUAACGAAGCAGAGAUGCAUUAGGUGCCCGUAAGGGAAAGUGGACACAGGUGCUGCAUGGCUGUCGUCAGCUCGUGUCGUGAGAUGUUGGGUUAAGUCCCGCAACGAGCGCAACCCUUGCCAUUAAUUGCCAUCAUUUAGUUGGGCACUUUAAUGGGACUGCCGGUGACAAACCGGAGGAAGGUGGGGAUGACGUCAAGUCCUCAUGGCCCUUAUGGCCAGGGCUUCACACGUAAUACAAUGGUCGGUACAGAGAGUUGCCAACCCGCGAGGGGUAGCUAAUCUCAGAAAGCCGAUCGUAGUCCGGAUUGUUCU
rnacentral:rRNA from 1 species